GGGCGACGCGAGGAACGAUAAACUCCAAAGUGGGCCUCGGGUUCGGGGCUCGGAAACGGCCCAAAACGGGCGAAGGGGGCUGGAAACCCACUCGGCCACUUGCUGUUCAAGGCUGGCCGAGGCUGGUCCGGCGGCUAGGGCGGCGAGGGGAGGCCGGUGGAGGGCGAGGGGGAUGCCGGGCGGUGGCCGGACGAAGCUGGGCGGUGGCUGGAGGCGUCGGGCCGAG
rnacentral:lncRNA from 1 species